rnacentral:rRNA from 1 species
UACGGGGGGGGCAAGCGUUGUUCGGAAUUACUGGGCGUAAAGGGCUCGUAGGCGGCCAACUAAGUCAGACGUGAAAUCCCCAGGCUCAACCUGGGAACUGCGUCUGAUACUGGAUGGCUUGAAUCCGGGAGAGGGAUGCAGAAUUCCAGGUGUAGCGGUGAAAUGCAUAGAUAUCUGGAGGAAUACCGGUGGCGAAGGCGGCAUCCUGGACCGGCAUUGACGCUGAGGAGCGAAAGCCAGGGGAGCAAACGGG